GAUGAACGCUGGCGGCGUGCUUAACACAUGCAAGUCGAACGGUGAAGGCGGAGCUUGCUCUGCUGGAUCAGUGGCGAACGGGUGAGUAACACGUGAGCAAUCUGCCCCUGACUCUGUGAUAAGCGCUGGAAACGGCGUCUAAUACUGGAUACGAGCUGCGAAGGCAUCUUCAGCAGCUGGAAAGAAUUUCGGUCAGGGAUGAGCUCGCGGCCUAUCAGCUUGUUGGUGGGGUAAUGACUCACCAAGGCGUCGACGGGUAGCGGGCCUGAGAAGGUGACCGGCCAAACUGGGACUGAGACACGGCCCAGAAUCCUACGGGAGGGAUCAGUGCGGAAUAGUGCAAAAUGGGCGAAAGCCUGAUGCAGCAUCGCCGCGUGAGGGAUGACGGCCUUCGGGUUGUAAACCUCUUUUAGCAGGGAAGAAGCGAAAGUGACGGUACCUGCAGAAAAAGCGCCGGCUAACUACGUG
rnacentral:rRNA from 1 species